ACACAAUAUAUCCUCACUGCACACAGAGAGGUAUACACACUGCAUCCUCACUGCACUCAGAGAGAUAUACACACUGCAUCCUCACUGCACUCAGAGAGAUAUACACACUGCAUCCUCACUGCACUCAGAGAGAUAUACACACUGCAUCCUCACUGCACUCAGAGAGAUAUACACACUGCAUCCUCACUGCACUCAGAGAGAUAUACACACUGCAUUCUAACGGCACACAGAGAGAUAUACACACUGCAUCCUAACAGCACACAGAGAGAUAUACACACUGCAUCCUAACGGCACUCAGAGAGAUAUACACACUGCAUUCUAACGGCACACAGAGAGAUAUACACACUGCAUUCUAACGGCACACAGAGAGAUAUACACACUGCAUUCUAACGGCACACAGAGUGACACACACUGCAUUUUAACGGCACACAGAGAGAUAUACAUACUGCAUUCUAACGGCACACAGAGAGACACACACU